rnacentral:rRNA from 1 species
UACAGAGGUGGCAAGCGUUGUUCGGAAUUACUGGGCGUAAAGGGCGCGUAGGCGGCCUUCUAAGUCAGACGUGAAAUCCCCCGGCUUAACCUGGGAACUGCGUCUGAUACUGGGGGGCUUGAGUAUGGGAGAGGGAUGCGGAAUUCCAGGUGUAGCGGUGAAAUGCGUAGAUAUCUGGAGGAACACCGGUGGCGAAGGCGGCAUCCUGGACCGGCAUUGACGCUGAGGCGCGAAAGCGUGGGGAGCGAUCCGG